rnacentral:rRNA from 1 species
GUCUUUAAAAUUAAAAAUUUUGGCGGUAUUUUAGUCUUUUCAGAGGAACCUGUUUUUUAAUUGAUAAUCCACGAUAAAAAUUACUUUAUUUAAGAAUUUACAUAUCAUUGUAGUUUGAAAAUUUUAUAAUAAAAUUUUUUCAAAUCAAGGUGUAGUUUAUAAUAAAGAUAAAAUGGGUUACAAUAAAAAUUUUAUAUAAAUUGGAUUUGAAAGUAAGCUCUAAAAUAUGUACAUAUUGCCCGUCGCUUUCAUUUUAAGAUGAAAUAAGUCGUAACAAAGUAGAUUUAUUGGAAAAUGAAUCUAGAAUUCAAAUUAGAGCUUUAAAAGUUUUUUAGUUACAUUAAAAAGUUAAUUGUGAAAUUCAAUUUAAUUUGAAUUAAAAUUUUUAUUAAUUUUAUAUUUUUUUAUUUUUUAAAAAAAGAAAUUAUUUUUUUAUUUUUGGUAAGAAAAAAUUUUAUUAUAGUUAAUUGUAUUGUGAAAGAUUAUAAAAAAAUUUUUAAAAGAAAUUUUAAUUUAAUGUACCUUGUGUAUCAGGGUUUAUAAAUUUAUAAAUCUCGAAUUUAAAAGAGCUAAUUUUAUUGUAGAAUAAAUAUUUAAAAUUUAAAAUUUGUAAUGAAAUGUUAUUCGUUUUUAAAUAUAUCUAGUUUUUUAAGAAAAAAAUUUAAUUUUUUAUAUUUAAAUAAUAUUAAUAAGGGAUAAGCUUUAAAUUAGAUUAUUAAAAAUUUUGUAUAAAUUAAAAUUUAUAGGAUUAGAAUUUUCCAAUUUUAAAAUUAUGUUAUAUUAAAUAUUUUUAAUUUUUUUAUUAAAAUUUUUGAUAAAAUUUUUAUGUUAAAGUAAUAAUGAUAAAAUUAGUAAUAUAAAAUUAAGGAAUUCGGCAAUAAUUUUUUUUACCUGUUUAUUAAAAACAUGUCUUUUUGAUUUUAAUUUAAAGUCUGACCUGCCCAAUGAUUAAAUGGCCGCAGUAUCUUGACUGUGCAAAGGUAGCAUAAUCAUUAGUUUUUUAAAUGGAAGCUGGAAUGAAAGGUUUGAUAAAAAAAAAUCUGUCUCUAAAAUUUUAUUUUUAAGUUAAAAAGCUUAAAUUUUUUAAUAAGACGAGAAGACCCUAUAGAGUUUUUUUAUUGGGGUGAUAAAAAAAUUUAAAUAACUUUUUUAUUUUAUGAAUAAUUGAUCCUAGAUUAAAAGAAAAAAUUACCUUAGGGAUAACAGCGUAAUUUUUUUUGAGAGUUCUUAUCG